rnacentral:piRNA from 1 species
CCUAUGAAGGACGACGAGAAGCAUCU